AACGGUAACAGGAAAGAGCUUGCUCUUUUGCUGACGAGUGGCGGACGGGUGCGUAACGCGUGGGAAUCUACCUUAUAGUGGGGGAUAGCCCGAAGAAAUUCGGAUUAAUACCGCAUAAGCCCUACGGGGGAAAAGGGGCCUCUCCUUGGAAGCUCUUGCUAUUAGAUGAGCCCGCGUAAGAUUAGCUUGUUGGUGGGGUAAUGGCCUACCAAGGCAACGAUCUUUAGCUGGUCUGAGAGGAUGAUCAGCCACACUGGGACUGAGACACGGCCCAGACUCC
rnacentral:rRNA from 2 species